rnacentral:rRNA from 1 species
UUGACUCUAGAGAUAGAGUAGNUGGCGAACGGGUGAGUAACACGUGGGUAACCUGCCCAGAAGCAGGGGAUAACACCUGGAAACAGAUGCUAAUACCGUAUAACAGAGAAAACCGCCUGGUUUUCUUUUAAAAGAUGGCUCUGCUAUCACUUCUGGAUGGACCCGCGGCGCAUUAGCUAGAUUUGGUGAGGUAAAGGCCCACCACCAGACUCCUACGGGAGGCAGCAGUAGGGACUUCCACAAUGGACGCAAGUCUGAUGGAGCAACGCCGCGUGAGUGAAGAAGGGUUUCGGCUCGUAAAGCUCUGUUGUUAAAGAAGAACGUGGGUAAGAGUAACUGUCCACCCAGUGACGGUAUUUAACCAGAAAGCCACGGAAUACGUUCCCGGGUCUUGUAACACACGCAAA